AUGUUCUCCUACCAUCAUCAGAAACAUCAUAACCCUCCUCCCUCCAAGAUGCAGGCAGAACAAGAACUAUUUGAGCAUCCUUCCCACGACUCUCAUUCCAAGAUCUCUCCUGAAGCUGUCAAGGAUGCAAAGCGGCUUGGUUUAUUAGAAAUGUACAUUUCCUGGGGUGAGAAGACUUGGUUUCUAAUUCCAGUUCUCCUCUCUAGCCAGCUAUGAGUCUCAGCUUCCUCUUCAGGAAAACAAAUUUGAAAAUCCUCAUAGAAGCUUCUCUGUGAAUAAAAGCUCCGAUGAUAGCUCAUUGUUCUGAAAGUUGGCUUUCCAUUGCUCAGACAAGCAAAGAGCAGUCAGGGCACUCAGGCCUCAUAGAGGACUCAUAUUUUAGGG
rnacentral:lncRNA from 1 species